GCUAUGGAGAAGAGGCAAUGCCAAUACCCGUAUCAAUUUUCAGUCUGUGACUUGCUUCGCCAAAGCCAUCAAUAGUUGGGCUACCGAGUGGCGCAGUGGUCUAAGGCACGGCAUCUCAAUGCUAGAGGCGUCACUACAGACACCCUGGUUCAAUUCCAGGCUGUAUCACAACUGGAUGUGAUUGGGAGUGCUGUAGGGCGGUGCACAAUUGGCCUAUUGUCAUCUGGGUUUGGCCUGUGUAGACUGUCAUUGUAAAUAAGAAUUUGUUCUAACUGACUUGCCUGGUGAAAUAAAUAAAUAAAAAACACAUUCAGCAGAAACAGGUAUAGAACCACAUAAAUAUUGUCUGAUUUGUAUAAAAUAAUUGUCUGAAGUUGUCAUGUGUUCUGACUUCCAGCUCUAUGUGAGCCAGGUGGAGGACUUCAGAUGUGUGACUUCCAGUCUACAGCCAUCAGCUGCAGACAUGUCUGCCUCCUGGAGCCUCGGGCUAAGGCCCUCCACAAACCUCUGGCCUGUGAUCUUCUUAGAACAGUCUGGGAAACACCGUUGAAAUACCUCUUGCUUUCACUUGAAAAAACUUUGUAAAAAUCUGAUAGAACCCUUUUUAUAUAUCUCAUCUGAAAACUGUUGUAAUGUGAAAUCCUUUGACCCCAGCCAUCUCUACAGACAGACACUCCUUGCACAGCCAACAGAUGGUGCUAUUCACCUAGGAUUUAAAACAAUGUUUCACGAGUGUGAACCACGGAAGUGUCUCUCUUUGUUGCUGUUGAAGCCUGGCAUGUCUGACGGCCCUGGGCCGCUAUUCUGACUGUCUGAGGCUGGUUAGUAACUGACAUCACGUAGACUCUGAGACCGCAGAUCUGCUCACCCUCAGAGCACGUCUCCACAAACAGCUCAACCAGGGGUAUUCUGUACCACAGGCUGAAAGACUUCACUUCUGUCAUUGAGGACCUGGUCCUGGCUGUGGAGCUGAGUGAGACUUGAGUCCAGGGGGCGGAGCCGAGCGGACACACCCAGGAAAAACUGAGGGCCGUGCAGUAGGCGGCCCAGGCCCAGCUGGUGCUCACCUAUAACGACUUUGCCGUGCCGUGCUUUUUCCCAUAGCUUCUACGCCGAGGAAACCAUGCUGCUCAGCAAGGCCGUCCAGGAGCAGAAGGAGGAAAGCGGCCUCCACGUUAACAGAGGAGGAAGUACCAUGAGGCAGCUCUGACAAGUUCUCUGAGGCCAUCAAGUACAACCCUGGAGUUAGACAGUACUAUGAGAACUGGGCCAAAGCCCCACCAUAAAGUGCCCAACGUGGAGGGGGCCAAGCAGGAUGCCAUCAGUACCCUUCUCCUGGACCCCACUAAUGAUCAGGCAAGACCCUCAAUGCCUGUACUGUGUGUCUCAUCAACUCUAUCCAUAAUACUGAGCUGUUAUAGCUAGGGUCUAAUGUGGACUAUAGACCCUA